UGGGACUUGAAACAUGACUCUUUAUUUGUAUGGUCACACAAUUUUGAUAUUGCAAAAUUACUUCAAACCCAUAUCUUAAACCACAAAAUUAAUAUAGGUAUGCUUCAUUUUAAACCACAAAUUUAAUAUAGGUAUGCUUCAUUUUAAACCACAAUUUUGUUUUUUUUUUUGUUUUAUUGCUUUGGACAUCUCGAUCAGACAAGGGAGCUAUGCGCAUAGAUAAAACGUGUUUAGAACAUGGGUUGUGGUGCGUGUGCAACUUUUACCCACAACAUGGAUAUAUAAUCACAACUAGAAACUUUUAGACGCCAUUACUAUACAUAAUAAAUUUUAAAUUAUAUUAUAUAUUUUAAAUGAAAAAUAUAAUUUACAUUUUUCUAUUAUUUUUAAUAAAUUCAUGAUUUUAUUUAUAAUUAAGUGGUUUUAUUAUAUGAUGUUUUUAAAUACAUUAUGUUUGUUUUGGAAUCUUUUUCGUAUGUUUUCAGGUUUUAGAGUGAUUUGGAAGAAGUAGUGAUUUUUGAGAUAAAAUGAUAAAAACACGUAGCUGACUAUCAAAC
rnacentral:lncRNA from 1 species